rnacentral:rRNA from 1 species
UACGAAGGGGGCUAGCGUUGCUCGGAAUCACUGGGCGUAAAGGGUGCGUAGGCGGGUCUUUAAGUCCGGGGUGAAGUCCUGGAGCUCAACUCCAGAACUGCCUUUGAUACUGAAGAUCUUGAGUUCGGGAGAGGUGAGUGGAACUGCGAGUGUAGAGGUGAAAUUCGUAGAUAUUCGCAAGAACACCAGUGGCGAAGGCGGCUCACUGGCCCGAUACUGACGCUGAGGCACGAAAGCGUGGGGAGCAAACAGG